CAUAAGCUAGUGUUUGGGAUGUUUACUCCAGCUAGCUUUUGGGAUGUUACUGUCAACUUGUGUUAGGUAUUUACAUUAGCAUUAGGGAUGUUGACGUUUGCUAGUGUAGGAAUAUUAAUGUCAGCUAGCAUUAGAGAUGUUACGGAUGUUAAUUUUAGCUAGUGUUGGGGGAUGUUAAAGUUAUCUAACAUUAGGGAUGUUAUCAUCAGCUACCAUUAGGGAUAUUAAUGUUAGGUGGUGGUAGUCAUGUUAAUGUUAGGAACCAUGGUGAUGUUAAUGUUAACUAGCGUUACAGAUGUUAAUGUUAGCUAGAGUAUUUACAUUAGUAAGUGUAAGGAUGUUAACGUCAGCUAGCAUUAGGGAUGUUAAUGUUAGGAACUGUAGUAAUGUUAAUGUUAACUAGUGAUCGGGGAUGUUAAUGUUAGCUAUUGUUGGAGAGUUAGCUACUUAGCUAGCUAGUUAGUUAAAGUUAGCUUGCAUUAGGUAUGUUAUCAUCAGCUAGCAUUAGGAAUGUUAAUGUUAGGAAUCGUAGUGGUGUGAAGUUAAUGGGAAGUUAAUGUUAGCUAUUGUUGGAGAAGUUAAAGUUAUCUAGCAUUAGGUAUGUUAGGUGGCAUUAGAGAUGUUAACUUUAGCUAGUGUUGGGGGAUGUUAAAGUUAUCUAACAUUAGGGAUGUUAUCAUCAGCUACCAUUAGGGAUAUUAAUGUUAGGUGGUGGUAGUCAUGCUAAUGUUAGGAACCAAGGUGAUGUUAAUGUUAACUAGCGUUACAGAUGUUAAUGUUAGCUGGAGUAUUUACAUUAGUAAGUGUAAGGAUGUUAACGUCAGCUAGCAUUAGGGAUGUUAAUGUUAGGAACUGUAGUAAUGUUAAUGUUAACUAGUGAUCGGGGAUGUUAAUGUUAGCUAUUGUUGGAGAGUUAGCUACUUAGCUAGCUAGUUAGUUAAAGUUAGCUUGCAUUAGGUAUGUUAUCAUCAGCUAGCAUUAGGAAUGUUAAUGUUAGGAAUCGUAGUGGUGUGAAGUUAAUGGGAAGUUAAUGUUAGCUAUUGUUGGAGAUGUUAAAGUUAUCUAGCAUUAGGUAUGUUAGGUGGCAUUAGAGAUGUUAACUUUAGCUAGUGUUGGGGGAUGUUAAAGUUAUCUAACAUUAGGGAUGUUAUCAUCAGCUACCAUUAGGGAUAUUAAUGUUAGGUGGUGGUAGUCAUGUUAAUGUUAGGAACCAAGGUGAUGUUAAUGUUAACUAGCGUUACAGAUGUUAAUGUUAGCUGGAGUAUUUACAUUAGUAAGUGUAAGGAUGUUAACAUCAGCUAGCAUUAGGGAUGUUAAUGUUAGGAACUGUAGUAAUGUUAAUGUUAACUAGUGAACGGGGAUGUUAAUGUUAGCUAUUGUUGGAGAGUUAGCUACUUAGCUAGCUAGUUAGUUAAAGUUAGCUUGCAUUAGGUAUGUUAUCAUCAGCUAGCAUUAGGAAUGUUAAUGUUAGGAAUCGUAGUGGUGUGAAGUUAAUGGGAAGUUAAUGUUAGCCAUUGUUGGAGAUGUUAAAGUUAUCUAGCAUUAGGUAUGUUAGGUGGCAUUAGAGAUGUUAACUUUAGCUAGUGUUGGGGGAUGUUAAAGUUAUCUAACAUUAGGGAUGUUAUCAUCAGCUACCAUUAGGGAUAUUAAUGUUAGGUGGUGGUAGUCAUGUUAAUGUUAGGAACCAAGGUGAUGUUAAUGUUAACUAGCGUUACAGAUGUUAAUGGGAAGUUAAUGUUAGCCAUUGUUGGAGAUGUUAAAGUUAUCUAGCAUUAGGUAUGUUAGGUGGCAUUAGAGAUGUUAACUUUAGCUAGUGUUGGGGGAUGUUAAAGUUAUCUAACAUUAGGGAUGUUAAUAUUAUCAAGGAUGUGCUGUAUGCACAUAUAUUUUAUGGGUUUUUUUUUCCUGUUCUUUUAACAUUUUGAAACAGAGAAUGAGAAUGUUGUAAAGCUGUUUUGCUGCAAAGCUCCAGAAAUGAUUUAUUGGCUACGAAACUUCAUCCCUUUCCACUGACUUGAGGGUCAAUAUUGAUUGAAUUUUCAUAUUAGGGUGAGCUGUUGCUUUACAAGUUUUUGUUUUUCAUAAAGUCAAAGGGAUUUUUCUCAACCUGGCACCUAAAAAGUCCCUGUUAAUAAUGUCUUAUGCUUUAUGGAGCAUUAAUAAUAAUCAGUUGCAACAUGCCAACUGUGGCUGUUUAACUUCAGGUAAAGCAUUAUACAAGAAUUCUGAAAAACAAGCAGCCAGAUAAAAAGAAACUGCCUCUGUCGGCCUGCCAACAGCUUUACAGCGCGCCAUAAAGCGGUCCGGCGGGGGAUUCUGUGGCGUUGUUCAACUCCCACCAGAACCCACAACCACAACCUGGAACACAACUUUUACAACAGCUAGCAAAUUGAGAAUAGUGAUUUUCCUAUAAAAGCCCUCAAGAACAGGGGAGCCUGGAUGCAGAGAGUUUAAUGAGAAGGUUUGAUGGCUCUCCCCGUCAAACAGACCGACUUCCCUGCCAAACGCUGUUCUCUCUUUUUAUUUGUGUCGGUGUUCGAGUAACUGAUUAAACAUACCAGAAACCUCGCGGACGGGCUGCCAGCAGUCCCCUCGCCGCCUCCGAGUGCCGCAGUCGUAAAACCUGACUUGACAGUGGUCUCGUAAAGCAGACAUAAUGCUGUCGUAAACAUGUCACGACACCUGCCAUAAACAUUAAUGACUGUUUAUGAAGGCGGAUGAUGAAUCGGAGGCCUUUUCUGGAGGCCGUUCAGCAGGUUGCGGCUGGAGAAUCACAAAGCCGUGUUAUGAUCCAAACUUUGGCAGGCGACUCAAAACAGCUCUGUGCUUCGCAGGAUGCAGUCCAGCGAAAAGUCAAAGCAAAGUCAUCAAGUUCAAAGCCAAGCAGCUAUCUGAUUUAUCCUUGAGUCUGCAAUUAAUGAUAAUAAAGCUCGUUCUCGCUAA